UACGAAGGGUGCAAGCGUUACUCGGAAUUACUGGGCGUAAAGCGUGCGUAGGUGGUGGUUUAAGUCCGUUGUGAAAGCCCUGGGCUCAACCUGGGAAUUGCAGUGGAUACUGGAUCACUAGAGUGUGGUAGAGGGUAGUGGAAUUCCCGGUGUAGCAGUGAAAUGCGUAGAGAUCGGGAGGAACACCAGUGGCGAAGGCGACUACCUGGACCAACACUGACACUGAGGCACGAAAGCGUGGGGAGCAAAC
rnacentral:rRNA from 1 species